AGGACAUCUCCUCACCCCAUAGCGCCCCAUAGGACCUCUCCCCCCCCCAAUACCAGGUCCAUGUGCUUGAGGCUGUCCAUAGGGCAUCUCCUCACCCCCAUACCGCCCCAUAGGGCAUCUCCUCACCCCCAUACCACCCCAUAGGGUUCUUCCUCCACCCCAUACCGACUCAUAGGGCAUUUCCUCAACCCAUAGCGCCCCAUAGGGCCUUUCCUCAGUCCCAUACCACCCCAUAGGGCCUUUCCUCACCCCUAUACCGCCCCAUAGGGUUCUUCCUUCACCCCAUAGGACAUCUCCUCACCCCAUAGCGCCCCAUAGGACAUCUCCCCCCCCCCAAUACCAGGUCCAUGUGCUUGAGGCUGUCCAUAGGGCAUCUCCUCACCCCCAUACCGCCCCAUAGGGCAUCUCCUCACCCCCAUACCACCCCAUAGGGUUCUUCCUCCACCCCAUCACCUCGUAGGUCAUCUCUUCACCCCCCUACCACACUAUAGGGUUCUUCCUCCACCCCAUACCGCCCCAUAGGGCAUCUCCUCAUCCCAUAGGGCAGGUCCUCACCCCAUAGCGCCCCAUAGGACCUCUCCCCCCCCCCAAUACCAGGUCCAUGUGCUUGAGGCUGUCCAGCAGUUUGCAGUUGCGGUUCUUGAGGCGGUGCGCCUCGUCGAUGAUAACGCAGCGCCAUUCGAUCUCGCGCAGCUCCGGGCAGUCGGAAAGGAUCAUCUCAAAGGUGGUGAUCAGAGCGUCGAAUUUGUAAGCGCCGGGGAUCAGACGACCCUAAAAGACCACCCCAAAAUCAGCACCGGGGUUGCCGGGACCCCAUUAAAGACAACAGUGGGGUUUUCUCAAGGUUUAGGGUCGUCGUCCCCCCCCUUCGUCCCACUGUUGGGUUUCAUUGCC
ensembl:lncRNA